rnacentral:rRNA from 1 species
UGAGGAAUUUUGCGCAAUGGCCGCAAGGCUGACGCAGCAACGCCGCGUGGGUGAUGAAGGCCUUCGGGUCGUAAAGCCCUGUCAGGUGGGAAGAAAGGCCUUAAGGAGAAAGACUUGAGGUUUGACGGUACCACCAGAGGAAGCACCGGCUAACUCCGUGCCAGCAGCCGCGGUAAUACGGAGGGUGCGAGCGUUAUUCGGAAUUACUGGGCGUAAAGCGCGUGUAGGCGGGGGGACAAGUCUGAUGUGAAAGCCCUGGGCUUAACCUGGGAAGCGCAUUGGAAACUGUUUUUCUUGAGUACUGGAGAGGAAGGGGGAAUUCCCGGUGUAGAGGUGAAAUUCGUAGAGAUCGGGAGGAAUACCAGUGGCGUAGGCGCCCUUCUGGACGGUAACUGACGCUGAGACGCGAAAGCGUGGGGAGCAAACA